GGGCCGCCGGACCGGGCCCCCGGGCCCUCCGGCAGCGGGGAACCGGGGCGAGGAGCCCGCGGUUCAGUUUCCGCAUCAACAAAAUUGAAGCUGCUCAGGAGGAGCCGCCUCUGUUUGGUCUCCAUAAACUGCUGGAGUUCAACCUCCAUGAACAGUUCUGCAGUGGACUCGAAUGAGGCUGUAAAGUGAGAGAAAGCAGCAGAGCUGGGAACAGCAGACAGUGUCCUGAGUCAUCUCCAGGCAGACACACCAAUACAACAGCAGCACACAGGUGAUGGAGAUCUCAGUUGAAGAUGCAGCCAGCUCAGUCUGUGAGAGGUCCUGCAGAUGCCUCUGACAUUCCUGCUGGUUGGGAUGUUUGCCUCUGCUGGGAGACCCCUCCAUCCUCUUCCUGGGCAGGAAAGGGACACAGCUGGGCCCUGGAAGACCGACUGGGUGGAGAGUAAAGGCAGGACUGGUGCUGAGAAUGGAGUUCUUCUAUGUUUGGAAGUAAAUGUGGAUGAACAUCCCUUGCCUGUUGCUGAUGGAGCUCUGUGGUGUCCCUGCUUGCCCUUGGACACCAGAUGGACUUCCCAGUGAAAGAUGAGCCCGGCUGCAUUCAGACUGAGCCAUCCUUGCCAGCCAAAGCAGAUUCUUCAUGCCUGCUUCCAAGCAGCACGAGCUUAAACAACUGGUGUCAGAGUGGGGUGUCUCUACAGUCCUGGCCACGAAGAGAGGAGAUGAAACGUUCUCCUGCUUGGAGCACAGGAAGGAGGCUGGAGCUGGGCUGCCAUCUCCACAACUGAAAAACUACAGUGAAAUCGGAGUUCUUUGUUCAUGUUUCAUUGCCUGCUUUGAGGAAAACAGUGAUCAGGAGAUGAGACACGAGCCUCGGGUUACUCAUCACACCACAGCCCUGUGCUAAUUGGAAAAUGACUGGGGGAGGAGCAGGUCUGGGCCAGGCUGUCCCUGGAGCAGGGAACGCGCUGGGGCUGGUCCCGCACAGUGUCUGGUCCUACCCGACAGCCCAGGAAAAACCUGCAGGAAAUGAACACCACCGUGGCUUCCCAGAUCCAAAAUAAUUAUUCAUCUGUAACGAUCCCGGUAAUUCCUUUAUGGGAAUUCAACUCUGUUUCCUUCAGGGCCUCCAGCAGAACACACAGUUCCCUACCUGAAACUCGGUCCUGGCUUUUUGUUGAUUCAGAGCCUGCCAGUGAGUUAGAGAGGUUUGCUGGUCCAAGCCACACUUCCAGGGAACGGACCUCUGAAAGCUCCCAGGCAACAGGGGAAGCAAUACUGUGCAGUCAGGAAGUUGCUUGUUCCAUGAUUAGCAUCGCUGCAGCUCCCGAGGGAAGGGAUGGCACUGUCUGGGCAGACUUGGAACCUGCUGAGAGCACUUGCACCUGGUACUCCACCCAGGAUCCAGUCUGCAAGUGGAAAAGUUGCCACUGAUGACUUGGAAUUUAGGAGCCAAGAGCUGCUGUGCUGUGUGGGACCGCGUCGAGUGAGGGCGGUGAGGAGUGGAGUUCACCCAGCAGCUGUUUCACGAGUGCCCAGCUUGGCUUGGCGGGAAGGUGAACAGCACCUGAAGCCUCUUCUGGAGUGUCCAGCCUGACCGUGUACUGAGCCCCUCAUUCCCACAUCCCAGCCAGGCACUGUGCAUGGAGGUGCUGCUCUGGGCAGGGCACAGGAUGCACCUGAGUCACUUCAGACAUUUAUAAUCUGAUCUGUGAGAGCAGCACCGUCAGCAGCUUUUCCUCCCCCUCGUGCAGUACCCAGAGACGUGUUCCCAUCCCUGGGCACUUUGGAAGUCCCAACAAGCCACGAGUGGCCAAGACCUGCCGAAGCCUGUUGAUCCAGACACUGGAUUCCUAAAACCUUUGCUUUCCCCAACACCUUCAUAAAGUGUCCUGAAUUAAGGGAGCCUGAAGUGCUCUGAUGGACCUGUUCCACCCGGUGGGAGGCAGAGAAUCCAGUGGGAACACGUGCUGCAGCUUCGUGCACCUCACUUGGAUGGGUGAGAUGGAGCAGGGGCAGCUCCCGAGAGCCUGCGCGUCCCCACGAGGCACAAACCACUCAAGCACCAGCCUUUGAAGGUACCCCCUCUGAUGAAGGGCUUGUCAACAUAAGAAAUCCCAGAGGAAAAACACCCACAAUGAGGAAUUCACAGAAAAUACACUAG